AAGCUAUGUUAUGAAGGUGAAGCACAGCAUCACCUGCCUUCCCUGACUGCACGUCACUGACGGGUAAGGACUUAGGGGUGAAUAUCCCUCCACCAGGAAGAUGAUCUAUGUCAAAAAGAAAUGCAUUUUCAUAUGUGGGUGUGCUCUGAACCACUGAAGUUUUAAUUUAAAUGUUAAUAAUGAGUUUUUGUUUUGGCGUGACUUUUAAAGUUUUAAAUCCAAUAUUUUUAUUUAAUUUCCAAGCACUGGCAGCUACGUGGAAACGUAGAUGACUAGCGACUGUUGAGGACCUCAUCGAGGGUUAGUAGCAUCCGCAUUUGAACACAAUAUUUUAAAUGAUAAGAGGGAUAAAUGUAGGGAUUGGCUGAAGCUGUAGGGAUAAGGGAAGAAUUUUACUUUGUCCAAAAUCCUUGAUAAGUACCAGCUCAACCGGUUUAACUUUUGCUGCACACUUUGUACAUGGAGCCCAAAAAUUAACUUAAAAAAUGUAUGGAUUUCAAUCCUGUAGUGGUCUCUGAAAGUGUUUUUUAAGGAGGAGCCGUAGCGACUUAGGGUUGGCAAUGACUAUGGUUAGCUAUGCAACAGUGUAGAUGACCAGCGACUAUUAAUGACAUAAUAGAGCAGUGGUUAAGACAUAUUUAUUUUCCAUACCUCUCUGCUUGGAGAGAUAAAUAAAGAGAUAGGGAGACGCUGUUUUAAUUAUUGUGCUUGAAGUUUCACCUGGAUGAGUUCAUUUCAGGCUUAUGCAACCAAAUUGUUGGAGACUUCCGUCAGGCUUCGUCUGCACAUGUGCGGAACGAAGAAUGUUUCACCUCCCAGUGUCUCCAAAAAUCCCUUAAAUCAUCGGAUUUCAGCAAUUCAGAAACUCAAUGCACGUCUCAGCUUUCUCAGCACUUUCAUACAAAUAAUGCAUAAAAGCUUUAUGUUGCAGAAUGAACAAUAUAAAAAAUAAUCAUAAAAAAAUGUGUUGACUCUUUCUCUCUGUCCCGGUGAUCAUUCUUUAAGGAGGACUCUCUGGAGUUAAAGAGGAAGUUAAAUGACCCAUUCUUACCCAAGGGAGGCAAACAGAGGCUGAACUGGCUGCUUGAGAGUAUUCAUGCUACAACCUGCCUAAUCUGGGGCCGGAUGUGUAUACACAAACACGAUAAGAGCCCCUUUCUCCAGCAUGCAGGGCACUUUUCGAAGAGGAAAGAAGAGGGUUAAGGGUAAAUGGAAAAAUGCUAAUCUUAAUCAGGUUUGUUAUGAAGAUAAAUGUUUACUUUUAUUUUUCAUAACCAAAUAUUAGAAAACAUAGAGUCACCUCCUAAGACAAUAACAAUGAUUCCUACAGGUGAGUUAAUGUGUGUUAAAGCUAUUGGGCGUUAUAACUUGAAGCCAAACCAAAAUUUUAUCUCUUUCAUUUUAUCAUCAGAAAUCAACACUGAUUUCAGAGCAUAGAAUUCAAAAACAUUCACACCAGAAAGGAGUUACAUUAACGUUUUGGUCAUUUCGUAUUUUCUGCACAAUUAAGGUAGACUUACAAGGCUCUGUUUUUUUCAGUAAAAUAGUGUUAUUAGGAAUAUGCUAAUGCGGUUAAUGUUUAGAAGUGUUGACCUGUGUUUUUUUAUUUUAUUUUAUUUUAUUAUUUAUUUUUUUUAUGUGUUGCUAAUGCUAAAGAUGUUGGGGGUUAGAAUAGUGACAGUAACAUUUGUUUUAGCUGAUAUUUUUUCAGAUUUUCUUUUCACAUGUUGCAUAAAAGAUUGAGAGUACGGGUAUUGUUAAUACUGUAACAUGGCUAACAUGUUGCGUGUCUGACUUGUUUUUUUUCACAUGUUUGGAGGAGGCAAGGUUUGGAGUUAGCAUAGCCGCUGCAAUGUUUGGAUUAGUGGUAAUAUUCAGCUCUUUUACAUGUUGCAAACAAGGAUGGUAGUUAUAGAAUAAGCUAACAUGGCUAACACUUCAGAUGUGGCUAAUGUGUAAUAUGUUACAAACUAGACUUAUCUAUCAGUCUAAAUCUUAAAUCUCGCCUAAUGGAUCUUAUAGUUCAGCCUCCCUUAUAGAUGUAAUGGGGAGGGCAUUAGGACCCAGGAGGUCGGUGGUCAGCUGCCCUCUCCCAUCGGAGAGUAGUUCCGGGGUUGCCAGGAACUGUAUAAAGGGCCCGGGGAAUGAUGCGUUUCCGUGUUUGACGUCACCGGCAGUGUUGUCACCAAAGGCAGCCCCACGGAGGAGAACAGCUGAAUGCAGGGCCACCGUCAAGUCGACCUUGCCAUUUGUGUGUGUGCCCCCCGCCUUCGUCAUAAGCGUGCCACAAAGGCAGCGUAUGUGGAGCUUCCACACAGAUGUAAGUUGGCUGUAACGCGAUUCCAAAACGUAAAGCGGGGGCGUAUUUUGUGGAGACUGUUUUAAUGUGCUUUUAAAACAGUUAUGUGGCUCAUGUGAAUUUUAACCUAAAUUCUGUUUUAUUGUAACCAAAGUUGGUUGGGAGAUUUGUCACCAUUGGAGAACCCACAGAUGUCCACACGAUUGAACAGAGGAAGGGAUUUUUAAAUGUGAGUUAGAUCAGCUUUCCAAAUGUUUGUAUCGUUUGGUUCCUCACUGUGUUCUUAAAAUCUCUCUUGUUGUUUUUAGGAUGUAUUCAUGUGCUGUCAUGCCUGUCACUGUUUUUUUAUCCCCACUGCUCGCUUUUAUUUUUUUAUCUCUUUUAUCUUUUUUUAAUGUGUUUUGUUUGGGGUAUUUUUAACCCCUUUUUUACACUUGGCACUUUUAAACCUUAGCCGACGUUUUAGACAGUGGUUUUAAACAGUAACCUGGUGCUGUGCAGGAUUGUGGAUUUUAUUUGCUGUGCUGUCCUCUCGUUUUUAUUAAGCAUGUUGUGUUUUAUUUGAGGGACAAUUGUGUGUUUUUUUUAAAGUUAUCCUGUCACAGCCCAGCUCUUGAAAAAGCUACUGUGCGGCUCAGUUCCUUGUGUUUUAAUAAAUCUUUUUGCUACACCA